rnacentral:tRNA from 1 species
GCCUGGGUGGCUCAGUCGGUUAAGCAUCCGACUUCGGUUCAGGUCAUGAUCUCGCGGUUUGUGGGUUCGAGCCCCACAUCAGGCU